GGGCGACUCAAAAUAGGAGCCGACGUAAAACGUCUUUUCAAAUCAUUGAAUGCCGUCUCUGCAGCCGGUGACCAGGAGAAUCUCACCUUGGAGGAGGUUAGGGAGGUGAGAGGUGAAGCCACCGUGCCAUAACUCCGAAUGAAACGUCGGUAAAAAUUUGCGAACCCCAGGAAUCUCUGCAACUCCCGCCUAGAUGUUGGACGGGCCCAGUCCGUGACUGCCUUUACCUUCAGAUUAUCCAUCUGUAUUCCCUCUGUCGUGAUAACAUGGCCCAGGAAUGACAUCGUCUCCUUGUGAAAUUCACAUUUCUCCGCCUUGACAUAUAACUGGUUCUCAAGGAGACGUUGCAGGACAUGACGGACAUGCUGGGAGGUAGACUGAGAGAAGAUCAGGAUGUCAUCCAGGUAAACAAAAACAAACUUAUUCAACAUAUCCCUCAAUACAUCGUUAAUCAGGCACUGGAACACGGCAGGACAAUUGUUGAGGCCGAAGGCAUUACUAAAUACUCGUAGUGACUAGGGAUCGACCGAUAUGGAUUUUUUAGUGCCGAUGCCGACCCUGGAAAAUAUUUAAGCAUAAAUAAAAUAAUUACACUAUUGCACAUGUAACCGGCAGAGCCACUGCUGUAUUAAGUUUGUCCUCCUGCUGUUACCGUAGCUCCUUUCCCCUUUGUCACGCCUUCCAGUUAGCUUCUAAGUGGCUAGGUUUCCUUAGCGGCAACACCACUUUCUAUAAAAUAACAGGCUCACCGGUAGGCCGACUAAGAUCCCUGGUUUCUGUAAACACUGCCGAUUCGGCUAUCCUUGGUUCCCUGGGUGUUCGUCUGUGAAAGGUGUCCUACUGUCGCUAGACGCUUCCGAGUAGUUGGUGGGUAGAUCUACUACUGAAGGUCUCGGGUGAAAAGACGUUUCAACGAAGCCCUGCACUGUUUACCAAGGAACCUAGCCAACAAAGGUACAUUUAUUUGUAACUCUCGUUAGGGAGAGAAAUAUUUGUCUGUAAACCCUUUUGCUCUUAUCUAUGUCUGUUUACUACCUAUAUGUGAUUGUUGCUGCUUUAGUAUGAUGUAGCACAUGUGAGCUAAUCAUGUCCUCAGUCUAUGAUGCAAAUGCCUGUCUCGCUGUAUCUGACAUAUGCUUGUGUACAGCAGUGUUCUCAUGCCAGCUUGUGGUGACGAGCGCCUGGGGUCCCCUUGCCAUGUUGUGUUUGCUUUUAGGAUGCACUGAGAACCAGUUGCCACUGCUGUUUUGCCUACUGUAAAAUGAAUGUAAAGUAGCUUUCGCCCGUUUUGUUUGUUUUCUUUUCUGUUUAGUUGGUUUCAUUUGGUAUUAUUUGACUUGGCCGUUACCUUUUAGCUUCCUGUUACCUCUCCUUCACGGCAUUAGGGCAUGUGUGGUACUGGCUGCCCCAGUAGUUUGCUACCAGUAAAAUCCUUCCUAUUCGGCUUUGCUCUACUGUUUUCCCAGUCACUGAGUGCUAACCAUCCCCUCCCCCUUCUCUCUUCUCCAGAGUAAUAGUGAAGCUGCUCACGGGGCAGGUCGCCGGAUCUGAGUCCUCCUCUUCGCGCACUGCUCACAGUAUUUUGUAGUGGUAACGUGCACCUCACCAUUUGCUGUGAUCACAUUGUUGCAGUAGUUGUGCCUAUGCGUGUGUGUGUCUGUGUGAAUAGGCACCAGAGUCAAGAGCACGAGUGUUGUGUCGGCCUCACACUUCUCCCAGGACAGGUAACCGCUCCCCAUCAGCUGACUAGCUAUCUCUCCCCUACUACUGUCCCAAAGAGUAAUAUCCCUGGUGGCAGCCAUUACCACUUCCCCUUGCCGUUCACCAUAGUGGGUCUGCGCUCUAGUGCUUAACUGCAUAAAUGGCCUUUUAAGUGAAUUCCAUAUUAAUAAAUCUUGUUUAUUUUUGUACUGGAAUCACGUCUCUGUCUUUACUCAUCUUAUCUGUGUGUCUCAUCAAAUAUACUUGGGUUUACAACAUAUCUUGGUGUGAAAGGCCCCAAGUGGCGUAGUCGUGCACUU